UGUGUAGGCCGUGCUCUAAGUUUGGUGUGAAAUCUCCCGGCUUAACUGGGAGGGUGCGCCGAAAACUGGAGUGCUUGAGUAUGGGAGAGGUAAGCGGAAUUCCUGGUGUAGCGGUGAAAUGCGUAGAUAUCAGGAGGAACACCUGUGGUGUAGACAGCUUACUGGACCAUCACUGACGCUGAGACACGAAAGCGUGGGUAGCAAACAGGAUUAGAUACCCUGGUAGUCCACGCCCUAAACGAUGCAUACUUGGUGUGAGCCAUUCAUUUGGUUCGUGCCGGAGCUAACGCGUUAAGUAUGCCGCCUGGGGAGUACGGUCGCAAGGCUGAA
rnacentral:rRNA from 1 species